rnacentral:lncRNA from 8 species
AACCUAGUGGUCAAACAAGGAAAUGGUUCCAAUUGUUUUUCCACCAUUCAUUUUUCCCAUAGGGGAUUUUAGAAACACUUAAAUAAGGGCUGUGUUUCGUGUAGGCUUACCAUGGCACGACGUUUUGAUAACCAUGUAAAUCUCUCUAGGACAAGGUGACUGUUAUCUAUAUAUUCGCUUGAAUUGCUGGAGCCCAGGAAGGGGACCGUGCUCCAUUUGUGUUCACCUCCAGCAACACAGACUCAAUCGACCUCUUCAGUAAACAGGCCAGUGCCUGUUGGAAAAAUGGUCAACAUGACCGCACAGAGUACAGGCCAUAUGGAUUUUCCAAAAGCUCUCAAAAAGAGGCAGUCCGUCAACAUUAAAGGACAGCUCCAGAGUAUCGAGAUCUUCAGAUGGGCCACUGAAGCGGCACUCGGGGAUAUAAUGUGACAACAAAUGGAUGCUUUAUUAAAAGCUCUAAUCCAGAGUUGACCAAACAGUGCCAUUGCCUCCCCAUGUUUGUCCCGUCCCAUUUUAUUUUCACAUCUCGUCUUGGAUUUCGUCUUGGAUGGAUGUUGUGACGCAAUAAAAUAUUUAGAAAGCCUUUUCAUUGAAGAAGACAUUAUUUUUAAGGAAAUUAUUUAAUGGCAUACAUUUAAACGCAUACUGUACAUGCCAAACCAGUUGUACAUUUUAAGUAUCAAUUUUCACGUAUGUCAAAGUCAGUAAAAUAAGACUAGUCUAUGUUGUACUCAUGAUAAUUCACACACCACCGUACUUUUGAAUUAAACCUAUUCUUUGCAUCCUGCAUCGUAACCUGUUAAUGUUCUGCUUUUGUGUUUUGCCGGUUCAGUAGUUAUUCACAGCAAUACCAACUUACAAAGGAUCUGAAUAGUGUUUGUUUUCAUAGACUUGUCUGAAGAUUAAAGAUAAUCAGGUGAGGGCUCCCGAGUGGCGCGGCGGUCUGAGGCACUGCAUCUCAGUGCUAGAGGCGUCACUACAGACCCUGGUUCGUUUUCCAGGCUGUAUCACAACUGGCCGUGAUUGGGAGUCCCAUAGGGCGGUGCGCAAUUGGCCCAGCGUCAUCCGGGUUAGUGUUUGGCCAGGGUAGGCUGUCAUUGUAAAUACAAAUUUGUACUUAACUGACUUUCCUAGUUAAAUCAAAUAAGAAAUGUCCUAGACAUCAGUAAGAAUAUUCAUGGCCAAAGAGAGAGAAAUCUAAGACCGUGGAGCUUUAAGGGUCAAUCUAUGGCCUGACUGAGAUCUUUAUCACAGGGCUACAGAGCCUGCGCCAGUGCACAGAAAGGACUAGAACAUUCUGGGAUCUUCAAGAAUUUGUAUAGUGGAUCAAGCUACUAUAGCAGUAACAUAUGGGCUAUACAUAUUGCAGCGGUAUCACGCAAGUAAUACAAACAUUGCUAAUAACACACUAGUAAGUAGGGUUGUUGCGCUCAACGAACACACUUGUAGCAAUGAUAACCAUACUAAAACGAGAUAGCAUGCACGGACACACACAAACAAACAAUGCUGGAAUUAGCAGGAAGCUGGCAAACAGCUGUGUAAAAGCGUAGCUAACAAACCAAUCUUACACAGUCACAUUACACGGUAAAGUAACUAGCCCACACUGAUUUGGCACCCAAUCUUAUUCCCAGUAACAGUUCCAACACUUGGGUUAGGAAACAGCAUGUGAACAGUCUGUCAGCACAACUUUCUUCUUCUUCUUCAAAUAUGUAUUGUUG